UACGAGUGACCCGAGCGUUACUCGGAAUCACUGGGCGUAAAGCGCACGCAGGCGGUCUGUCAAGUCGGAUGUGAAAUCCCCGGGCUCAACCUGGGAACUGCAUCCGAAACUGGCAGGCUAGAGUCUUGUAGAGGGGGGUAGAAUUCCAGGUGUAGCGGUGAAAUGCGUAGAGAUCUGGAGGAAUACCGGUGGCGAAGGCGGCCCCCUGGACAAAGACUGACGCUCAGGUGCGAAAGCGUGGGGAGCAAACAGG
rnacentral:misc_RNA from 1 species